CAAACCCUAACUUCUGAGUGUCACUUCCACCGCACCCUCUACAUCCUCUUCCUCGCUCUAUGUUCUUUUUGCCAUAUCAUUAUUUUGUGCUCCUUUUAAUCCCGCAGGUGAUGGAGAAUCGAAAGUGCAUCUGCAUCAUAGAGCUGAAGCUCUACCCAUUCGAAUCAGUUCUUUGGUGGCGCUGAAACAACUAUUAAGGUACUUCUUCCUCUGCAGGAAUAGGAAAUCGAGGGUUUCAAAUGACUUUUAAUGCUUUUCAGCACUCAAGCCAGGUGGGAGAUACCUUAUGUCUCAUAUAACAUCCUAAUCAUCUUUUUCGUUAUUCCAUAUGCUAUGUUUAAACCCUGAAUACUUCGUCAUUCCUCUCCUCUCCCAAUUUUCUUCCCCCCUAUUUAAUUAAUUGAGAAAGAUAAAAUGACAAAUACUUCAUGAGAAAGAAGCAUGGGUGAGUCGGAAUUUCAACAUCCAGUUCUGUCAAUAUAAGUUUGUGAUAAUAUGGUGUUUUAAAAGUGGAGGCGGGAUUGAUUUCAGAAGACAUCACCAUCUCAGUUCGCGUAGCAGAAUUAGAUGCAGAUGAAAUGGAAAAUAUUUGCUGAGUUGAUUUUGAGGGAUUCACAGACAUCUAUUCCCUAAGCUACACUAUGUGAAAAUCCUCUAUAAAAUUAGAUAUCUUGGCUCAAGGAUGUUGUCGUGCUGCUAAUGUUGGACUAAUAGUGGAAAAGAUGCCAGAACUACAAGAAUGUAUUGAUGCGGAUUAAAUGGCGUCGAAUGCUCUCAAUUCUCACUAUGGCUACAACGAGUUACUGAUAAGUGUUUUGAUCCGUGAAUAAUGUAAGUGUCCUCUUCUAUAUAUAUGGAGUUCAGAUCAUGAUAAAAUCAACACUUUGUUAAUCAAAUAGAGUAUCAUGGUGGAGGACUAAAGAAGUAUUAUGGUCAGAUAUUAAUCAUCUUUUACGGUAAGUUCAUAAAUUUCCUUCCCUUAAUUAGUUUUGAUGUACAUUGCACGUAUAACUGGGAUUGAUUUCAAGUGUGGUGGUAAGCCAGCUGAAUUAUCAGCUGAUUGCUUUGCCUAUCUUACUAACAUUCCCAAACGUGAAUAUAAAUUUUCUAUCUAUGAUGUUGAACGUCCCUUGACAGCAGAAAAUACCCUUAAUUGCUGUCAUCCAUUGGUAAAUUCAAAACCAAUUUUGAUUUUACUAUUAUCUUUGGUUUCACACUUCUGUAACUCAAACUGCACAGGGCUUCCUGUUACUACCUCAAGGAGAGACUUCACAUUAGAGAAAAGCGGUUGAAUUACCGGCAAGUAGACUCUUUCAGCACUUUAAGUUUCCUUUCUUAUGGAGGAUGGUAUCUCUGACAAAGUAUAGUUAGUACCGCUUACACGAAAAAUGACUAUGGCCGGGAUUUUGUUAUAUAUAUCUUCAAGUUGUCGUCUACAUUUAUCUUUAGGUUGGGGAACCAUGCAAGCAAGGAGAUAAAUACAACCCAAAAGCCGGGAUAGGCCUUAUGUCAGGUAAAUGUAUGCUUCUCAAUCAUUUCUGGAGUACUAUGCCGCUUUAUGUGUCCGCAUUAUGGACUAAAAAUAUGCGGCGAUGGUGGUGGAGGUGGUUAUGGUGACAGUGGGGACGUCAGCAAAGAUGGAGGCUCUGGGUCGGAAAGACAUCAACAACAAUGAAAACAGUUUGCAGUGUGUACUGAAAGGAUCUGUAUACACUUUGCUGCCAAGCUCAUGUACUAAUAAGCAACCGUGUAAACAUUAAUUGAUAUAGAAGGUGAGGAAAUUAUCCAUGUAGUCACAAAAUGAAUAUCAAGUAACUGUUUCUCAGUAGUUAUUUCAUUAUUUGAGCACUUAAUGAGAAAGAGGUGGUGAAUUAUGUAGCAUUCCUGAUGCCAAUACUAAAUAGUAACGUACUGUAAACUAUGCCA